GAAACCAUCAGACGCCUCCAGAGGA
rnacentral:ncRNA from 2 species